rnacentral:rRNA from 1 species
GAUGAACGCUGGCGGCGUGCCUAAUACAUGCAAGUCGAGCGAACGGACGAGAAGCUUGCUUUUCUGAUGUUAGCGGCGGACGGGUGAGUAACACGUGGAUAGCCUACCUAUAAGACUGGGAUAACUUCGGGAAACCGGAGCUAAUACCGGAUAAUAUUUUGAACCGCAUGGUUCAAAAGUGAAAGACGGUCCUGCUGUCACUUAUAGAUGGAUCCGCGCUGCAUUAGCUAGUUGGUAAGGUAACGGCUUACCAGGGCAACGAUGCAUAGCCGACCUGAGAGGGUGAUCGGCCACACUGGAACUGAGACACGGUCCAGACUCCUACGGGAGGCAGCAGUAGGGAAUCUUCCGCAAUGGGCGAAAGCCUGACGGAGCAACGCCGCGUGAGUGAUGAAGGUCUUCGGAUCGUAAAACUCUGUUAUUAGGGAAGAACAUAUGUGUAAGUAACUGUGCACAUCUUGACGGUACCUAAUCAGAAAGCCACGGCUAACUACGUG